AAACAAGAUGUUAAGAGUAGAUGGUGGAUGCCUUGGGUAGUAGAGGCGAUGAAGGACGCACUAGACUGCGAUAAGCUGCGUGGAGCUGUCAAGAAGCGUUGAGGCGCAGAUGUCCGAAUGGGGCAACCCAAUCCAUAGCAAUAUGGAUUACUCUAUUUAGAGAGCGAACCUAGCGAAGUGAAACAUCUCAGUAGCUAGAGGAAAAGAAAUCAACGAGAUUCCCUCAGUAGUGGCGAGCGAAAGGGGAAAAGGGCAAACCGGGUGCUUGCACUCGGGGUUGAGGACGACAACAUUCAAGGGGUUUAUCUAGCAGAGUUGCUUGGAAAAGCAAGCCAUAGAAGGUGAUAGCCCUGUAUGCGAAAGAUACACCCUAGAUAGUCGUAUCCAGAGUAGGUCAGGACACGGGAAAUCCGGGCUGAAGCCGGGGAGACCACUCUCCAACCCUAAAUACUACUACUACACCGAUAGCGCACAAGUACCGUGAGGGAAAGGUGAAAAGAACCGUGGGUAACGGAGUGAAAUAGAACCUGAAACCAUCUACUUACAAUCAUUCAGAGCCCUAUGAUUUAUCAGGGUGAUGGACUGCCUUUUGCAUAAUGAUCCUGCGAGUUGUGGUGUCUGGCAAGGUUAAGUGAAAACGAGCCGUAGCGAAAGCGAGUCUGAAUAGGGCGCUUUAGUCAGACGCUGCAGACCCGAAGCCAAGUGAUCUAUCCAUGGCCAAGUUGAAACGAGUGUAACAGCUUGUGGAGGACUGAACCCGUGCCCAUUGAAACGGGCUGGGAUGAGCUGUGGAUAGGGGUGAAAGGCCAAACAAACUUGGUGAUAGCUGGUUCUCUUCGAAAUAUAUUUAGGUAUAGCCUCAAGUCAUAACAAGAGGGGGUAGAGCUCUGAUUGGGCUAGGGCUGCUCGCCGCAGUACCAAACCCUGUCAAACUGCGAAUACCUUUUGUUGUAUCUUGGGAGUCAGGCGGUGGGUGAUAAAAUCAAUCGUCAAGAGGGAAACAACCCAGACUACCAACUAAGGUCCCCAAGUUCUAUUCUGAGUGGAAAAAGAUGUGUGGUUACUCAAACAACCAGGAGGUUGGCUUAGAAGCAGCCAUCCUUUAAAGAAAGCGUAACAGCUCACUGGUCUAGUGAUCAUGCGCUGAAAAUAUAACGGGGCUAAGAUAGACACCGAAGUUGUAGAUUGCUCUUUUAGAGCAGUGGUAGAAGAGCGUUCUGUGCAGCGUUGAAGGCAUACCGGUAAGGAGUGUUGGAGCGCACAGAAGUGAGCAUGCAGGAAUGAGUAGCGAUAAGAUGCGUAAGAAUCGUAUCCGCCGUAAAUCUAAGGUUUCCUACGCGAUGUUCGUCAUCGUAGGGUUAGUCGGGUCCUAAGCCAAGUCCGAAAGGGGUAGGCGAUGGCAAAUAGGUUAAUAUUCCUAUACCAAUUGCAAUGUGCGAUGGGAGGACGCAUAAAGUUAGGUGAGCUAGCUGAUGGAAGUGCUAGUCGAAGGGUGUAGAUUGGGAGAGAGGCAAAUCCGCUCCUGUAUUUGAAACCUGACAGGCUCUUUAAGGUCUUCGGACUAAGAAGAGAAUCACUGAUACUAUCGUGCCAAGAAAAGUCUCUAAGUUUAGUUGCAAUUGUCCGUACCGCAAACCGACACAGGUAGAUGAGAUGAGUAUUCUAAGGCGCGUGGAAGAACUCUCUUUAAGGAACUCUGCAAACUAGCACCGUAAGUUCGCGAUAAGGUGUGCCUACGCAAGUAGGUCUCAGCAAAGAGUCCCUCCCGACUGUUUACCAAAAACACAGCACUUUGCCAACUCGUAAGAGGAAGUAUAAGGUGUGACGCCUGCCCGGUGCUCGAAGGUUAAGAGGAUGGGUUAGCCCGCAAGAGCGAAGCUUUGAAUUGAAGCCCGAGUAAACGGCGGCCGUAACUAUAACGGUCCUAAGGUAGCGAAAUUCCUUGUCGGUUAAAUAACCGACCUGCAUGAAUGGCGUAACGAGAUGGGAGCUGUCUCAAAGAGAG
rnacentral:ncRNA from 1 species